AAUUUUGGUUACGUCUCAACCGCUUCGUUGAAUUAACGUCCUCUGAAUCCUUAUAUAUACUUGUGAUUUUGUUGUGCUUCUUCACACACUUCCUUGCAAGUCAUCACUAGAUCACUAAGCAAGGAUAUAUGAUGGUUUCUAAGCUUUUAUUUGUUGCAUUUCUUGGCUUUUUAAUUUGCACACUUGAAAUUGUUGGUGGCAGAAAGCUCUCUGAAGAGGAAACAAAAACAUCAAUUGGACAUGGUGGAGGCCUAGGUGGUGGAGCAGGAUUUGGAGGUGGUGUUGGGGGUGGCAUUGGUAAUGGUGGUGGUGGUGGAGCAGGGUUUGGAGGUGGAGGAGUUGGAGUAGGAGGUGGAGGUGGAGGUGGAAUUGGUAAAGGUGUUGGUGGUGGAAUAGGAGGUGGUUCUGGAGGUGGCAUUGGUAGUGGUGGUGGAGUAGGAGGUGGAGGUGGAGAAGGUGGUGGUACUGGUAAGGGUAGUGGCAGUGGAGCAGGAGGUGGAGAAGGUGGUGGUAUUGGUAAGGGUAGUGGCAGUGGAUUAGGAGGUGGAGAAGGUGGUGGUAUUGGUAAGGGUGGUGGCGGUGGACUAGGAGGUGGUAUUGGUAAAGGUGGUGGUGGUGGAGUAGGUGUAGGAGGUGGAGGAGGUGCUGGAGGUGGAGGAGGUGGUGGUAUUGGUAAGGGUAGUGGUGGUGGAGUAGGAGGUGGAAGUACUGGAGAAGGUGGUGGCAUUGGAAAAGGUGGUGGUAAAGGAAUAGGAGGUGGUUCCGGGGGUGGCAUCGGGAAAGGUAGAGGUGGAGAAAGUGGUGAUAUCGGUAAGGGUAAUGGCAGUGGAGAAGGCGGCGGCAUUGGAAAAGGUAGUGGUAGUGGAAUAGGAGGUGGUUCUGGAAGUGGAAUUGGUGGUGGCAUCGGGAAAGGUGAAGGUGGUGGAAUAGGAGGUGGAAAAGGUGGUGGCAUUGGGAAAGGUGAAGGUGGUGGAAUAGGAGGUGGAAAAGGUGGUGGCAUUGGGAAAGGUGAAGGUGGUGGAAUAGGAGGUGGAAAAGGUGGUGGCAUCGGGAAAGGUGGAGGUGGUGGUGGAAUAGGAGGUGGAUAUGGUGGUGGCAUUGGAAAAGGUGGUGGUAGUGGAAUAGGAGGUGGUUCUAGUGGUGGAUUUGGUGGUGGCAACGGGAAUGGUGUUGGUGGUGGAAUAGGAGGUGGUUAUGGAGGUGGAGGUGGAAAAGGUGGUGGCAUCGGGAAAGGUGGUGGUGGUGGGAUAGGAGGUGGAUAUGGAGGUGGAAUUGGUGGUGGUGGUGGUGGUAGUGAAGGCGGUGGCUUUGGCAAAGGUAACGGUAGUGUAGGUGGUGGUUAUGGAGGGGGAUUUGGUGGAGGAGUAGGAGGUGGGGGUGGAGGUGGUGGAGGAAAAGGUGGUGGAUAUGGUUAUGGUGCAGGAGCCGGUGGUGAGUCCGGAAAAGGAGACGGAAGCGGAAGUGGAGGAGGGUGGCCUUGAAACCUAUAUCUGUUAAAGCCUGUCGGAGCAGAACUUAUGCAAUAACAAAUCUAUAGUUAAAAUUAAAUAAGCAUGCAAUGGUUUUGUAUUUUUCUAUUACUUUUUAUGUAUGGCAUAUCACAUGAGAUGAUAAUAAAGGCUUGAAUCCAGCUUACAACGUAAGGCUUCAUCCAUUCUCAUAUUCCAAAUGAUCAUUUCUUUCUGAAAGGUCUGAACUUAAAACAAAACAAUCCAUCUCAAAAAGAUGAAAGAGUGUAAUU
rnacentral:lncRNA from 1 species